GUCCUGGUAUCUAUGAUGAGUUUAUUUAGAACCACUGGGUCGAUGCCACUGCUGGUGGAGAUUUAUUUCCCCGAGGGUAUCACAAGCCCAGUAGUCAGCACUGUUUGUGCUGACAUGAAUUGUCAUUGAUAUGAUUAUAUUUAUAAAUUUACUGUUUACAAAUUUUUGAAUUUUUUGAAAUACUAAGGCUUUUCUACCUCAGGCAUAGAUUACUUUAGCUGUAUUUGGCAAAACUUUUAGGAAUUUUGGUUCUCAAUGCUCUUCAACUUCGUACUUUAUUUGGCCUUUUUAACUUU
rnacentral:lncRNA from 1 species